UCUUCAAGAAGAAAUGAAAUUGAUUUUCUUUGCCCCCUAUUGGGAUGAUUCCUGCUCUGGGCCAGUUUUCAUUUGUAAAUUAUCAGGCCAUGGUAACCCACAUGGUAUCAGACACGGAGGAGCAAAUGUGCAUGUUUUGGGAGAUGCUGAACAUGUAUCACAGGAGGGGCAGAAGGACUGCCAAGUGGGUGGCCUGCUUCCUGCCUGGGACACCUCAGGGCACUCUUUCUACAGCUGGAGCACAGAGGAAUGUGGUCUCACCAAGGCCUGAGACAAGGAUCCUCGAGUUGGAGAGACAAGAGUGUGGAAAGUCCUGGAGCUUAAAGAAGACAUUUACUGCAUGAGCUGCUGAGGGGCUCACGAGAGGGAUCCAGAGCAGACUCUUCCGAAGCCUGCUGGUAGUUUCUCAAGACAAGCAGAGCAAAACCAAACUCCUUCAAGAUGGAAAAUAUCGAUGGAGUGAAGGACUUUGGAGCAGAAAGUAGAGGAUAAGCAUCCAGGUAACCUGGAUAGAAGAUAUUUAAAGGCUCAGAACCCUCCACAGAAUUGAGAAAGAAGGCUUGUAAACUGAGACUCCACCUAAGACUGGUCUUCAUGAGAAAGUUGCAUAAAAAAAGUUCUGGAUACAAUGUGUUGAAUCCCAAGGAUUCAUGGGAGAAAAAUACAUUUCCUGAUUGGACCUGUUUUUCGGCACCA